GAUUACAGUGUCAAAAGGUAUUCUUCACGUCAUGCUUGCAUGUAAGUGGAGAUAUACCUUAUUGACACGCCCACACAUGAGCAAGAAGUGGGGCGGGGGCCCCAUAGAUUGCGAAUGCGGGGGCAGGAUUGUGGAAGUGCGUAGCACGAAACAAUCCGU
rnacentral:sRNA from 1 species